rnacentral:lncRNA from 1 species
GCCACUUCCAGGCUGGCCUAUUGGAUUAUGGAAGCAGGACUCUGAGUUGAUGCUAUUGCUCUCCCCAGUCCUCUAAGCCCCUUCUAUUUCAUUCCAAGUCCAGCCUUCAACCCCAGUGCCUGAGCAGGAGGGAGGGACAUUGCUCUGACUCUUGAGUUGCGAGGACUGGAAGACCUUCACUUUAGUUCUUGACCACUUGUCUGGGCACUGCUCCUGUCUCCUGGAGCUCAGGCUGGAUGGAGUCUCUCCCCUAGUUCAGGCUGCAGCCCCAGCCGCCACAGCUACAGCGGUGAGAGCAGGCUGGAUCCCAGAUCUGCAGGCGGGUGAGCAGGUGGAGCCCAGUGAAGAGAUGUUCCUGCUGCAGGCAAUUAUGCAAAGCUCACCAAGAAACAACCACCUCCCGCCUCCACACACCCUGCAAAACUAAUUUGACUGAAAGAUGGCUUACAUCAAUCACACUGAUGAUCAAGAGCGAAGAAAGGACGAGGAUGGGCAGAAACAUCACACACACAUGCAGCACAGAGACAGGGCUGGAAGGCUGAGCAAGAGUCAGAGCUACAGUUGGAAGUAUUGGAAAGCGGCAGCGGAUUCUCGGGGUGAUGGGAAAAGCAAAAUCUGCUUCACUAAAACUCCGUCGGUGAUCAACUUUUUCAGCAGUCCUCCGAUUCCCGACUAGAAGGCAAAAGCCUGGCCCAGGCCACGGGAGGCACUUCACUAAAGAAGAAAAACCUGAGCUCCAGCAAGCUCAGUAACUUCAUCAGUCACCUAAUUGAACGAGAACCCAGAGCAACUCAGUCCAGGCUGCACAAAUUGAGUAGCACUGCUCUGCAGCUCGCUGCACUAAAAGUGGAAGAUAUUUUCCAUUACAGCAAGUGCUCCCACAGAAGGAUCACGAGCCACACACGGAGCCUUACUCUCCAAAUAGGCGCCCAUGGCCCAGUCGUCCCUUAGCCUAAGAACUCAGAGAGCCAGGCUGUAAUAAUGGGGCUGCCGUGUGAGCACAGCAGCCAUCGAGCUGCUCCGGUUCAUUUCCCAGAGGUUGAGCUGCAGUGUGUCCAGUAUUUAAAAGUAUGGAACUUGUUUCAGGGCUGACCCAUUCUUGCCCAAUUCAUCUUCCCCGUGUGAAGUUAUUUAGCAAACAGCCAAGUUCAGCUGGAAAUCGUUUUUCAUCCCCUCCAACUUCUAGUCACAUGGGCAGCUGGCCAGCUACAUGUUAACAAGCGCCUCAGAACUCCUAAGACACCACCGGCCUCUGUUCCCUUCAGUGCAUUCUUGUAAAUAAAUAAAUAAUAAAA